rnacentral:rRNA from 1 species
UACAGAGGUCUCAAGCGUUGUUCGGAUUCAUUGGGCGUAAAGGGUGCGUAGGCGGCGCGGUAAGUCGGGUGUGAAAUCUCGGGGCUUAACUCCGAAACUGCACUUGAUACUGCCUUGCUCGAGUACUGGAGAGGAGAUUGGAAUUUACGGUGUAGCAGUGAAAUGCGUAGAUAUCGUAAGGAAGACCAGUGGCGAAGGCGAAUCUCUGGACAGUUACUGACACUGAGGCACGAAGGCCAGGGGAGCAAACGGG